AGUCGAGCGAYSGAUUAAGAGCUUGCUCUUAUGAAGUUAGCGGCGGACGGSUGAGUAACACGUGGGUAACCUGCCCAUAAGACUGGGAUAACUCCGGGAAACCGGGGCUAAUACCGGAUAACAUUUUGCACCRCAUGGUGCGAAAUUGAAAGGCGGCUUCGGCUGUCACUUAUGGAUGGACCCGCGUCGCAUUAGCUAGUUGGUGAGGUAACGGCUCACCAAGGCAACGAUGCGUAGCCGACCUGAGAGGGUGAUCGGCCACACUGGGACUGAGACACGGCCCAGACUCCUACGGGAGGCAGCAGUAGGGAAUCUUCCGCAAUGGACGAAAGUCUGACGGAGCAACGCCGCGUGAGUGAUGAAGGCUUUCGGGUCGUAAAACUCUGUUGUUAGGGAAGAACAAGUGCUAGUUGAAUAAGCUGGCACCUUGACGGUACCUAACCAGAAAGCCACGGCUAACUACGUGCCAGCAGCCGCGGUAAUACGUAGGUGGCAAGCGUUAUCCGGAAUUAUUGGG
rnacentral:rRNA from 1 species